rnacentral:tRNA from 1 species
UGGUGUAGCUCAGUUGGUAGAGCAGCUGAUUUGUAAUCAGCAGGUCGGGGGUUCAAGUCC